rfam:Triticum aestivum genome assembly, contig: Triticum_aestivum_CS42_TGACv1_scaffold_404315_5BL
AGACUACUCCCUCCGAUUGGAAUUAAUUGUCUCGUAAAUGGAUGUAUCUAGAACUAAAAUACGUUUAGAUAUAUCCAAUUUCCGCGACAAGUAAUUUCGAACGGAGGGAGUACAUA